rnacentral:rRNA from 1 species
AUCAAAUGAAGAAAACGUUACGGUGGAUACCUAGGCAUCUAGAGACGAUGAAGGGCGUGGAAACCAACGAAAUGCUUCGAGGAGCUGGAAACAAGCUAUGAUUCGGAGAUUCCCGAAUAGGGCAACC